rnacentral:rRNA from 1 species
AAUAUUGGUCAAUGGAGGCAACUCUGAACCAGCCAUGCCGCGUGAAUGAUGAAGGUCUUAGGAUUGUAAAAUUCUUUCACCGGGGACGAUAAUGACGGUACCCGGAGAAGAAGCCCCGGCUAACUUCGUGCCAGCAGCCGCGGUAAUACGAAGGGGGCUAGCGUUGCCCGGAAUUACUGGGCGUAAAGGGCGCGUAGGCGGAUCGUUAAGUCAGAGGUGAAAUCCCAGGGCUCAACCCUGGAACUGCCUUUGAUACUGGCGAUCUUGAGUAUGAGAGAGGUAUGUGGAACUCCGAGUGUAGAGGUGAAAUUCGUAGAUAUUCGGAAGAACACCAGUGGCGAAGGCGACAUACUGGCUCAUUACUGACGCUGAGGCGCGAAAGCGUGGGGAGCAAACAG